rnacentral:rRNA from 1 species
AGUGAACGCUGGCGGCAGGCCUAAUACAUGCAAGUCGAACGGCAGCACAGCAGAGCUUGCUCUGUGGGUGGCGAGUGGCGGACGGGUGAGGAAUACAUGGGAAUCUGCCCAGUCGUGGGGGAUAACGUAUGGAAACGUACGCUAAUACCGCAUGCGCCCUACGGGGGAAAGUCGGGGACCGCAAGGCCUGACGCGAUUGGAUGAGCCCAUGUUCGAUUAGCUAGUUGGCGGGGUAAAGGCCCACCAAGGCGACGAUCGAUAGCUGGUCUGAGAGGAUGAUCAGCCACACUGGAACUGAGACACGGUCCAGACUCCUACGGGAGGCAGCAGUAGGGAAUAUUGGACAAUGGGGGCAACCCUGAUCCAGCCAUGCCGCGUGAGUGAAGAAGGCCCUCGGGUUGUAAAGCUCUUUUGUCCGGAAAGAAAGCAUCUGGUUAAUACCCGGGUGUUCUGACGGUACCGGAAGAUAAGCA